rnacentral:misc_RNA from 1 species
UUGGAGAAAAAUUGGAAUAACUUCGAGAAAGAGUUAAGGAAACAUAUAAAAAAAAAUAUAGGCAUUAGGAAGAGCUGUCUAGAAUUUUGGGAAAUGAAAUAGUGAACUAUCAAUUAUAAAAUUUACAUAUAGAUAUUUGGGUACAGGUUUCGAAAACAGAGAGGGUGAAAAUUCAGCUUUUCUCGAGUCACCUACUUCGUUUCUCAGUACACCGGAACCUCUUGGAGUCUUUGGAAGUCCCUGCUCGUUCCGUCCCCCAGAAUCGUUGUCCCCGAAAAGGUAACACCCCUUUGAUUCUCUUGUCUUCGUGUUGAGUAAAA